CCAAUAGCGUAUAUUAAAGUUGUUGCAGUUAAGAAGCUCGUAGUUGAAUUUCGGGAUCAGUACGCUGGUCGUGCCUUCGGUAUGCACUGGUGUCACUGGUUCCUCCCUUCUGAAGAACCGUCAUGCCAUUCAGUUGGUGUGGCGGGGAAUCAGGACUGUUACUUUGAACAAAUUAGAGUGUUUAAAGCAGGCUCGCGCUUGAAUACAUUAGCAUGGAAUAAUGAAAUAGGACGUUUGAUCCUAUUUUGUUGGUUUCUAGGAUCGACGUAAUGAUUAAUAGGGAUAGUUGGGGGCAUUAGUAUUCAAUUGUCAGAGGUGAAAUUCUUGGAUUUAUUGAAGACUAACUACUGCGAAAGCAUUUGCCAAGGAUGUUUUCAUUAAUCAAGAACGAAAGUUAGGGGAUCGAAGACGAUCAGAUACCGUCGUAGUCUUAACCAUAAACUAUGCCGACUAGGGAUCGGAUGAUGUUAAUUUUUUUAAUGACUCAUUCGGCGCCUUACG
rnacentral:rRNA from 1 species